AGUUAUUUGGAAGAAACUGAAUUAUUUUCUUUUUGAAUUAAAAAAAUCAAAAAAUAGAAAAAGAUAUUUUAGAAAUUAAAGUAGGUUUUGAUAAAAAAAAGGGGUUUGAAAAGAAAGUUAUAGGGUGCUAAUAGUCCCACUCAGUAGCUAUAAAGACUAGGGGUGGGCAUAUAACUCCACCUGAUCCGAUCUGACCCGAUCCGAUCCGAAUAUUUCUGAUUCGGAUCGAACGCAGCUUGAAGGAGUAAUCCAAUCAGAUGAUUUCUUGUCAAUCCGAUUGGAUUGUAUUUAGAUUGGAUCAAACCCAAUCCGAUCCAACGAUCCAAUUGGAUUGAAAAGCAAAAUAAAAACACACUAGUAGUUCUAGCACACACACAAAGCCCCCCACACCCCCCACAAUAACACACACACCCCCCACACUAAAAGACCACACCCACGCACACAAAGCCCCACACGGCGACACGCACCACAACAAAAAAAAAAGACAAAAUUACAUAACUAAUUUUUCUACACUCACACUAGGGUGCUAAUAGUCCCACUCAGUAGCUAUAAAGACUAGGGGUGGGCAUAUAACUCCACCUGAUCCGAUCUGACCCGAUCCGAUCCGAAUAUUUCCGAUUCGGAUCGAACGCAGCUUGAAGGAGUAAUCCAAUCAGAUGAUUUCUUGUCAAUCCGAUUGGAUUGUAUUUAGAUUGGAUCAAACCCAAUCCGAUCCAACGAUCCAAUCGGAUUGAAAAGCAAAAUAAAAACACACUAGUAGUUCUAGCACACACACAAAGCCCCCCACACCCCCCACAAUAACACACACACCCCCCACACUAAAAGACCACACCCACGCACACAAAGCCCCACACGGCGAUACGCACCACAACAAAAAAAAAAGACAAAAUUACAUAACUAAUUUUUCUACACUCACACUAGGGAUGGUAAAAAUCUCCAUGGAGACGGGUACCCUUGGGGAUUUUUCCCCUUCGGGGAGGGUACAAGGAUAAUUUUAUACCCAAUUUCUUAUUCGGAGAAGGGACGAGGAAAUAUUUUUACUCAGUUUCUUAUUCGGGGAAAUUAAAGUAGGUUUUGAUAGAAAAAGGGUUUGAAAAGAAAGUUAUAGGGUGCUAAUAGUCCCACUCAAUAGCUAUAAAGACUAGGGGUGGGCAUAUAACUCGACCUGAUCCGAUCUGACUUGAUCCAAUCCAAAUAUUUCAGAUUCGGAUCGAACGCAGCUUGAAAGAGUAAUCCAAUCAGAUGAUUUCUUGUCAAUCCGAUUGGAUUGUAUUUAGAUCAGAUCAAACCCAAUCCAAUCUAACCAUCCAAUCAGAUUGAAAAGCAAAAUAAAAACACACUAGUAGUUCUAGCACACACACAAAGCGCCCCACACCCCCCACACUAAAAGACCACACCCACGAACACAAAGCCCCACACGGCGACACGCAUCACAACAAAAAAAAGACAAAAUUACAUAACUAAUUUCUCUACACUCACACUAGGGAUGGCAAAAAUCCCCACAGGGACGGGUACCCUCGGGGAUUUUUCCCAUUCGGGGAGGGCACGGGGAUAAUUUUAUACCCAAUUUCUUAUUCAGGGAAGGGAUGGAAAAAUUUUUUUACCCAGUUUCUUAUUCGGGGAAGGGACGGGGAUGAGGUGGAAUCCUCAUCCCCUCCCCAUUUCCCCCAUUUUAAUUUUUUAUUUUAUUUUUAUUUUUUAAAAUUGCUAGUAAAUAAAUAAUAAAAUUUGAAUUAUAUUAUUAAACUUUUAGGUCUAAUUAACUAGGAAAAUUAUCAUUCGUAUACCCUAUAAAUGCUCUAUUAUAAAAAAUACUACAACACUUUAAGGGUGUAUCAAUCGUCCACCUUAAGUUGACAAAAUGUAUCUGCCAUCCACCAAACCGUUACUUGCCGUUUAAAUAGGAUAACGCCAGAGGGGUAAUUUGGUCUUUUUAUAUGAUACAAGUGAUAAUUUAAGGGUAUACAAGUGAUAAUAAAAGAAUUUAAGGGUAUACAAGUGAUACUUUUCAAGGGUAAAAUUGUCAAUUCGCUAUAAUUCCCUUAACUUUCAAACGGCAGCUAACGGUUUGGUGGUCGGUAGAUAGCUUUUGUUAAUUUAAUGUGCACGAUUGAUACACCCUCAAAGUUUUGUAGUAUUUUUGAUAACAGAGCAUCUAUAAGGUAUACGAAUGAUAAUAUCCCAAUUAACUAAUUAAAGUCUUAAAUUUUUUUUAGGACAUUAAAAAUGCCGGGUAGAUUCUAUUAGCCCAAAAAUUUUGUUUUAAUUUUAAUUUUUUUUAUUAAAAAUAUUAAUUAAGUAUCUACAUUUAUUUCAUUUAUUUUAUUAUCGAUAUAAAAGUAAAUUCUUUUUCUUUUUAUUGUAGGAUUAUGAAGAUUGACAAAGAUAAUUAUUUUGAUAAUUUGUAUUUUGCAUGUGACUUUUGUAAUGGAUCAAUGUUAAUGUAAGAUAUAUUUCGAACUUUACUUUUAUUUGAAUUUUUUUAUUUUAAUAUAAUUAACUCAAAAUCGAAAAUAAAAAAAAUAUAUAUUAGUUAUUCGGGGAUGGAGAGGGGACCCUCGGAGAUCCCCUGUUAUUAUUUAGGGAGGGGAUGAUGAUUCUCUCAAAUAAUUCUGACGGGGAUGGAGAGGGGAUGGAAACAUACACAAAAUAUCGGGGAUAAGUACGAAGAGAUUGAUCCCCUCCCCAUUGCCAUCCCUAACUCACACACAAGCUGAAGCUACCGUCACUGCCGAACUACAAAACAAAAGCUCCAAAUCAGCCAUUCACCACCAAUCAUGCCACUAUCCACUGCAAAACCAAAUUGGCACACUGCACCACCACCGUCCACCUUUGCCUUGAUCGCGCCAACCACCACCAAGCACAGCAGAUCCAUGGUCAUGCCAAGUCGCCAAGUCAACAGCCUGCCAGCCUCUGAUUUGAUCACACCUCGCCUCGCUAUCGUUUGCCGCACAUUCUUUUUAGUAUAUUUUAUUUCACUUUUUGUUUGUUUAUUGAAAAAUUAAUGAGAAAAAAUGAAAUCUAUUAGCAUUGAAGGCUCAAGGGUGAGUCAAAAUAGUUGAAGGGUUGUUAAAUCCUAAUUGUAUUAUAGUGAAAUUACUCUGUAAAACUGAAAAACAAUUGGCUUUGAAUUUAUUUUGUUUAUAAUAAACAUUGAAACAAAUCCUCUCUACUGUUUGCGUAAAAAUAAGAGCAUCCAAGUGUUUUAUCUGAAUUUAACCCGAGAUUGUGAUCCAAUCCGAUCUGAUUUGAUUCGAGAAAUGAUUAUAAGUUCGGAUUGUAUUCGGAUGAUUUUUUCUCAACCCGAUUAAUCCGAAAUCUGGUCGAAUUGAUUCAAACCCGAUCCAAAUUUGAAUUUGCCCAACCCUAAUAAAGACUAGUAUGUGAAGAUGAUUAGGUCUUUGUUGUCAUUGGUACUGUAGUGUAAUUUUUAAACCACAAUUCUUAUAGAAUGCAAGUUCUAGAUAUCAAAUAUAUAUAUAUAUAAGCAUAGGCGGCUUGUGCCCUAGGCAACUUAGGCGGUUGCCUAGAGGCCCCGCUAUGAUG
rnacentral:lncRNA from 1 species